UUUCUGUCUAAAAGAUAGAUAUUCAUAUCAUGAUUUUUGAGCAAGUUAUUUGAUACUCUGGUACUGCUGAAUAUAUAAUCCCAUGAUACAUUGCUGUAAAUGAUAUAUUUUCCUUUCACAGACAUGUUUUCAUGAGUUAUUGCAAGCAAAAGAUGUGAAUAACGCCCACAAAAUGUCAGCUUACAGUGUAGACAGGAAAAAUACAUAUUUUACAAUUCUGGCAAAAUGCAUGAGAAAACGUUAAAUAAAUAUAACCGAAUGAGAGUUGCUAUACCUGGAGCAAACUUGACAAUUUAAGGAACGUACACCAAAAUGUUUGUUCACAAGAUGAAAGAAAUUGGGAUCACAUGAGUGUGAUCUGAGAGUAUGCAGUGACAGGAAAGUGGUUUAUAGGGGGCUCAAUCUCUGCUAAUGGCCCCUUAUCUUUGACCAGGACAAGUUCACUGCAGGGGUUAAUAGGGUGUGGAAACUUUGCACUCUUUAGAAUUCUACAUUAAAAGACGUGGCAGUGGUAUAAUGGAAUUUGCAGCUUGUAAAGUGCCUACAAACUUAGAUUGCAUGACAAGCUAGGAGAUAGAGAGAAUUUUAUUCCUGGAUUUUAGAGACAAUCAGAGGCAAAGAUGUUACGGUCAACAAGGGUUUGAGAAAUGACGUGAACGUUUGAUGUCGCAGAUAUUGAUAAUAAUGUUAAAUGGUAUUUUAGUAUUUUAUGGUACACAUUGGUAAUAUGUA